rnacentral:SRP_RNA from 14 species
GCUUAUAGGUGGUGGCUCAUGCCUGUAGUCCCAGCUACUAGGGAGGCUGAGACAGGAUGAUUGCUUGAGUCCAAGAGUUCUAGGCCAUAGUGCACUAUGCUGAUCAGGUGUCCACACUAAGUUCAUCAUCAAUAUGGUGAUCUCCCGAGAUUGGGGAACGACCAGGUUGCCUAAGGAGAGGUGAACCUGCCUAGGUUGGAAACAAAACAAGUCAAAACUUCCUUUCUGAUCAAUAGUGGAAUCGCCUGUAAGCUAAUGUUUGCCUCCCCUUUCAUAUUCCCCAAGCCUUAGUGGGGAAGAGGCAUUU